GUUAGACUUGGCAGUAAGCACCCUUACCGGCUGAGACAUCUUGCUGGCCCCUGGUCUUUAGGUCUUUUUGAUCAUUACCUGGUGCUGGUGGACGUGUCAGCACGCUGGAGGGGCUGUGGUGAUGUUGGAGAUAGUCCAGGGUCACUCUGACAUCCUGCCCAUUUGGGCCAGCUCACCUGAGGAACGUCUAGCUUUCUGGUAUCAAGGAUAAAUAAGAUUAGGGUGGGGCAGGUGUCAGGUUUGCUGGGCCACCUAGCUGGUAUUCAGGGUAAAAGCGGAAGUGAAACUGAAUGAGAGAGCCUUGUUUGUGAAGAUCGUAGGUAACUAAUGCGGUGGAAUGGGCAUUGUGUCCUGUGUUUACCUGAGUACCUUUCUUGGAAAGAGCACCACAGUGUCCCUUGCACAGGCCGCCGAUAUAUCUGAUGCUUGGAUGAAAAGACUACAGUUCAAAUUGGAGAAGCCUCCACACUCAAGAUCCUGCAGACUCUUCCCAUCGCCAGGUCUCCCCCGCCCCUGAGCGCCAGCCCAGACUCUGCUGGUUUGUGAGACAGCCUUGCAAGCCCCAGGACCGCUCCUAUGGGAAUUCAGGGCCAGGCCGAGGAAUAAAAAGGACAGGGUGGGAGGGGGAGGGGGGGAUGUUGAAUCAGCCAGGCCACCAAGGCUAAAAAUACCCUGCUUCUGUAGACUUCUUCCUCCAACCAGUCUAGGCCGGAAAAGGGGAGGGGGAAGAUCAUCUGCACCAAUCCGGAGGAAGCUGCGCUGGUGAUGACAGUUUAAGGGAGCGUCUACCCCAGGUCUCCCAAGUCAACUUACAGAGCUCUGUUCCCAUCUCUUUUAAAAUAAAUGCAACUGGGGAGACUUGGUGGGUUCCCUUUUUCUGCUCCACAGUUUAGAGGAGACCCCGGGCAGACGGCUCAGCCUCCUGAGCCCGUAUCUCUACAGGUUGGGCUCCAGUAUGGCGGCUCGGCGGACAGCCCUAUCUACACCAAGGCUGUGGCUCUGAUGAGACACGCAGCUGGUUUCAUGAUGAAGGAGACCAUGGCAGGAGAGGUUGCUUAGGAGAAGGAAGAGGCCAGCAGGACACAAUCCCACCGAGCUGACAUCUUCAGCUACAUACAUCAUGGUUAGACUGAUUCUCUCCCAGAACAUGAGAGUCCCAACCAUGUCCUCCCGGGAGCACGCACUGUCCUCAAGCCACACUGGAAAUCUAGAAGCCUCCACUGUAUUAGCCUCCACACUAAUCCUGAGGACCCUGUGGACAACGGAAUGUGUCAGAAGUUACCUAAAGAGAUCUCUGUGCUUCAGCCAGCGAGUGAGCAACCAAGCUCUCGAUGAACUUGUCCUGUGGAAAGAGGAUGGCCUCCGAACCGAGCAUCUCAGAGGACAGAGAAGUGUCUGACUAGAAUCUAAGCUCACUGAAGAUCUGUCCUCCAGCCAGGGUACCUGGGGGUUAAUUGACUGGGAGAGAAGAGGGUCUUCUCAGGGGAUGAUUGACACAGAGCGUGAAGCACCCUGGGUCCCAUCCCAGCAACACUAAUCGUGGUUAGUUUCAAUGAGAAGCGCCACACCCCCAUAGUCUCCAGCAUUUGAA
rnacentral:sRNA from 1 species